AAUGGACUGACUGUCUUGUAACGAGC
rnacentral:piRNA from 1 species